UGGACCUCGAAGGUCUCAGAGCUGUCCCUGGAUUAUUGAAAAGCCAGAACUUGAAGAUGUCCACAUGGCGGCCACACUGAAUUGCCUUGUCCCCCGUGUCGUAGGAGACAUCAUAUUGCUUGUCCGGCUGGAAGAGGUACCCUGCGCACAUCUGGUUGCAUCCUUGGAGUAUACCCUGUCGUGGAAAUCAAGAAGAGAGAACUUUGGACAGCUGUGCUCAGGGAGAAGGCCAUGUGAAGGCAAGGCARAGACUGGAGCCAUGUAUCUACAAGUGGAGGAACACCUGCAACACCAGAAGUUGGAGGAAGCAAGGAUGGAUUUUCUCUGAGAGCUUCAAAGAGAUCAUGGUUCCGCCAACACCUUGAUUUUGAACUUUUAGCCUCCAAAACUGUCAGAGAAUAAGUUGCUACUGUUUCAAAUCACCUAGUUGGUAGUAAUUUGUAAUGACAGCUCUAUGAAACUAAUACAGAAAGGGAGGAAAACAGGCCCAAAUUCUCCACAGUGUCAAUGACAGGGAAGGGUAGGUAAGAUUUAUCAGGACAAAACAGGCAUGAAAAUGGAGGUAGAAAGAAUAGGGGAACCUGCUCUCUAGGUCCUGAAUAGCCUGAACCUCAAAAUGAACUUGACCUAUUACCAUGUAUCUGUAUCUUUUUAAUUUAUUUUUACAAGAAAUAAUGAUGAGGGUUUUUUGGUUUGUUUUGGUA